AUGUCACUAAGCUCUAUGCAGUUUGACACUUAUGUACCCGACAUGUUUCUGAGCGAGAACAAAGGGAACAGCUGUUACGUUUAAGUCUGAGUUGUGUAAGAUAUGCAAAUUAAAGUCAGUCAGCACGUAAAUAUUGUAAGCCUUUAACAUUCAGAAUAAAAUAAACUGCUCCGCAAACCGCAAAUUGAGAACCCCUGCACACGUUUGUAUUCCAUCCGUCAACCGAGAAGAACGACCGAUCGGUGACGCUCACAGAAUUUGGUAUAUCUGCACACCAUGAAACCACCUUCUGCAUAGCAUCGAGAACGUGCACCAGGAAAUAACAACCACAUAAGACUGCCACUACCACAACGUCAAGCUAGAGCAGAGAGACCGCUCUCUGCGCUCUUUUACGCACACAGUCGUCACACACGCCACGACGGGGGAGACGAUUGAGAAUUAUUCGCAGCCAGCUCACUCAGUUAGUGUCAGCCCGCCGAAACGACAGUGCACGCAAAUCGAAAGAGUCCGGUCUUCGUUGAAACGAAAAACUUAGCCGUCCACCUUGUGAAGUUUGGUAGGAUAACCGCGUGUGGUUCCUCGAGUGAAAUUAGUGCCAGGCAGGAGGCCCACCAUUUGAUUCCAGCCAAGGGAAAUAGAGCGCACAGAGGGACACACGGACCACCAUUUUGCAUUUCGGUUUGCAGAAACCACGUUGCCCAGGGUAAAAAAAAACAAAAAACUCAUACGAUCAGCCCUCGAAGUCGAGAAACAGCGCGACGGUCGGAACCGGUGCGUGGGAACCCAACCAGUUGGUGCAUCGUUUCCACCACGCCGGACUACUGUAACCCUGAUUGCACCAUUCCCGAAAGUCAACCGAUAGUCAUACAUCCCCGGGACAAAGAAAGCCUUCCAUAGGAAGGCUUUCUUUUUUUGUUUAUUGCAGUCAGUUCGAGGGGUCAUUGGGAGCAGCCAGACGAGCCAGGCGGUGGCAGCGAGUCAGUGUGGUCUUCAACCCCCCUCAAUCCGGUUCAAGUCAACCGCGGAUCUAAUCUCGCCAACAUUGGGGAAGGCACCCGGUGGCGUGCGUCAUAUGAUCACCGAUUAGACGGAUUCGGAGCGAUUGGCGGUUCUCGGCUGGUGCAGGAAGGAAGCGAUUAUCCGGAGGGACGAAACUAUCCGCUAGGCAGAGCAGCGUCAGAGAACUGCACGCGGUCUCGUGGGUGUCGUCAGUUCAGCAGCAAGAUCAAGUCGGUGUGAGCAUCGGCCAGAAAGGCGGAAUGAUGUGGCUGCAGAGCGUCAACGGGGUAGCGGCGGUAAGCAGGGCGCGCCCGAAAGUGCAGUGAGUAGAGCAAAUCUAGUUUUUAAGCAAAGUAAAGGUUAAAGGAGAGGCUAGGAGUCAGAAGAUAGGAGGAAAGGAUCAGGAAAAGGAAAAUGAUGGUCAGUAAAUAAAAAACUUGUAACCAUGAUCAGUUUUGUGUUGGAAUUCAGUUAUUUGUGCGCAUUCCCUUAAGAGCUUUCCGGGGCUGAUCGAGGUUUCCAUUCCCCCCUCGACAGACACUCGCAACACAGCAGCGACAUUCGU
rnacentral:lncRNA from 1 species